CAUGUAUGAUAUAUCUCUCUCUCUCUCUCUCUCUCUCUCUCUCUCUCUCUCUCUCUCUCUCUCUCUCUCUCUCUCUCUCUCUCUCUCUCUCUCUCUCUCUCUCUCUCUCUCUCUCUCGUAAUUGGUAGAAGGUCCCCAAAACAGAUAGCAACUGAAACGUAGAUUUAAGUGCUGUUUUGCACAGAUAUCGAUAGCAACUUGACGUUGUGUUUUUCUCGAUACAGUGUCCUAAACUGUCUUCAACAUACUACACCCGUAAUGUAGUGAAAUUGUGUUGAUGAAUCUGAUUGAAGAGUAGUCAAAACCGCCAUUGGUUAACUUAUACCGGCUGUCAAGACGGACCCAGGGAAACUUCCUUUGCCUUUUUGUUUAUUAUUGUUAUGAUUCUUAUUCUCCUGUUUUACCGAAAACCGACGCUGUAGAAAGUUUCGCUCCCACGAUAUAGGAGGACGUUUAUUUUGUAGGCAUAUUUAGUGUGUUUAAAAAAUAUAUUGCCCGAGCAACUACAAGUCACAUUUAACGCCUCGUGCCCACUGCCUCCGUCCGUUGACUGAUCCCCAUUGACUUUGAAUGGGGACGGACGCGCAAUGCAUUGUGGAUCCGUUUGUGCCGUUGGAGCCUUCGGCUCCGUCAAAAAGUUGAAAAAUUUUCAACUUUUUCGGCAGCGACGGAUCCGUCAUCCAAUCAGAUCGCGUAUGCAAAAUUAAGCACUGUGACGCGACUCGGGCUCUGACGAUACUCGAAAGCGGGUCAUCUUGCAAUGACAACGCAACAAGCAAGAAGAAGCGGGAAGAACCCGGCUUUGUUGUUAGUGGGAAGAGAUUUGAUUGGCUGACGGAUGCCUCUGUAAAGACUACUCCCCCAUCCGUCAGCCACGCCUUCCCACGUCCUUUUACUGACGGUGCAGUGGGCAUGAGGCGUUACUUUGAAUGGGGACGGACGCGCAAUGCAUUGUGGAUCCGUGCGCUGAAUGCUCCGUCAAAAGUUGAACAAUUUUCAACUUUUUCGGCAGUGGCGACAAACGUCGCACUCAAGGAACUGUACGGAACCAUCAACAAAAUAGAAAACAGACACCCAGAGGCCGCUCUAAUAGUGGUUGGAGACUUUAACCGAGCGUCGCUGAAGAAAGUUUUGCCAAAAUUCUAUCAACGCAUAACUGUAAACACGAAAGGCGGAAGAUGCUUGGAUCACGCCUACACUCAAUUCCGCAUUGCAUACAAACCCCUCCUCCGCCCCCCGUUCGGCAAAUCAGACCACUCUUCCAUUCUCCUUGUGCCCGCCUACAAGCACAGGCUGAAAACGUCUCCACCAAUCACGCGCACAAGCCGAUGCUGGUCUGACGAAUCAGACGCUAUCUUCCAGGACUGCUUUGAUUCCAUGACUGAGUUCGCGGAGAACAGUGGUGACGUCACCGAGAUCGUGGAAGGAGUGAUGCGUCUCAUUGGAAAGGUGAUAGAAGAAGUAGUGCCCACAAAAACAGUCUGUGUAUAUCCAAACAGGAAACCAUGGAUUCAUUUUGAUGUUAAUACAGAACUUACUACCAGGGAAACAGCAUUCAAAACAGGAGAUACAACUGAAAUUAAAACUGCCCGGUAUAACCUAAGAAAAGGGAUCAAAGCAGCAAUGAGGGAUUAUGGCAAGAAAAUAGAGGCACAGCUGAGCAGCAAUGACCCAAGUAGAAUGUGGAAGGGACUACACACAUCAGUGAUUUCAAAGAGACCUCUAGCUGCCUAGCUGAUACUUCUGUCUCUUUACCUGACGAGCUGAACAUUUUCUACGCCCGCUUUGAAGUGAGCCACACCAGCCUUCUAGAGAGAACCUACUCAGCGGACGCAGAUGAUUCCGCCAGCGCUCUUGUCAUCACAGAAGAGGAUGUUUGUGUGGUGUUCAAACGCAUCAACGUCCGAAAAGCGGCCGGGUCAGAUGGGUUACCUGGCCGGGUGUUCAAAAUAUGUGCAGACCAGCUGGCUGGUGUAUUCACAAACAUUUUCAACCUCUCCGUCUCCACGGGCAUAGUGCCAGCCUGCUUCAAGUCAUCAGUAAUCAUUCCGCUCAUCAAGGUGCUGAUCUGCAGAAUGCUGCCACCAGCCCUGGACCCCCACCAAUUUGCCUAUCGGAAGAACAGAUCGACAGAUGACGCUAUUGCCACAGCACUCCACUCAGCCUGCCUCGACCAGAGGAACAACUAUGUGAGGAUGCUGUUUGUGGAUUAUAGUUCGGCAUUCAACGGAAUAGUCCCUUCCAGACUCGACAGGAAGCUCAGGGACCUAGGCAUUGAUCCCAGCCUAUGCAACUGGAUCCUUGACUUCCUGACGGAUCGAAAACAGGUGGUGAAGAUGGGUUCUAAGAUCUCCGCCCCUCUGACCAUCAGCACAGGAGCCCCCCAGGGCUGUGUCCUAAGCCCCCUCCUCUACUCCCUAUACACCCACGACUGCGUGGCUACACACGGAUCCAAUGCAGUGAUCAAGUUCGCCGAUGACACGACUUUGAUGGGCCUGAUCACUGAUGAGGAUGAGACAGCCUAUAGGAGCGAGGUCGACUGUCUGGCUCAGUACAGCCAGGUCAACAACCUCAUUCUCAACACCGACAAAACCAAGGAGCUCGUAGUGGACUUCAGAAGGAAGAGACAGAUUCAACACCCCAUCUCCAUCAUUGGGUCUGCUGUGGAGAAGGUAGACAGCAUUAAGUUC
ensembl:lncRNA